rnacentral:lncRNA from 1 species
UGAUCCUCCUGCUUCAGCCUCCCAAAGUGCUGGGAUUAUACAGAUAUGGUGACCAGUGAAGGGACCUGAAUGAAGGUUACUGAUGUCUCUGAGACUCCUUGAGGAACACAGAAAAGAUGCUGCUAACCUCCCCUUUAAGUGGUGGGGGGUGGGUCCCCUGUCUUCCUCCUGGAGCCCUGAGAAUCCUGUUUUCCUCCAAAAUCUGGCUACAACUAAGAACAAAAACUGCUAAACUGGACAACUCAACAUAAAUUUCAAAGGACAAGUCUCAUGCCUGAUGUGUGAACUACAUGCGGAGUUGAAUAUAAUGCCUGCUAGCACAACCAGAGACAUUCAACUGCAAAUCAGGACGAGAAGUUGCCAACUUCAUGCUGUGGAGUUUUUCCCAAGAUGCAUGGAAUGAGACUCCCUAUCGUAGUAAGCUUCCUGAGGCUUCCCUAGAAGCUGACCUGAUGCCAGCACCAUAUUUCCUAUAGAACUUGCAGAAUGAUGAGCCAAUUAGACCUCUUUUCUUCAUAAAUUACCGAGUCUCGGAUAUUUCUUUAUAGCA